GCAGUAGCUCAAUGGCAGGGCAUCUGCCUUGCAUGGAGAAGACCCCAGGUUCAAGUCCCAGCAUCUCUA